AGUGAACGCUGGCGGUAGGCCUAACACAUGCAAGUCAAACGGCAGCACAGUAAGAGCUUGCUCUUACGGGUGGCGAGUGGCGGACGGGUGAGGAAUACAUCGGAAUCUACUUUUUCGUGGGGGAUAACGUAGGGAAACUUACGCUAAUACCGCAUACGACCUACGGGUGAAAGCAGGGGAUCUUCGGACCUUGCGCGAUUGAAUGAGCCGAUGUCGGAUUAGCUAGUUGGCGGGGUAAAGGCCCACCAAGGCGACGAUCCGUAGCUGGUCUGAGAGGAUGAUCAGCCACACUGGAACUGAGACACGGUCCAGACUCCUACGGGAGGCAGCAGUGGGGAAUAUUGGACAAUGGGCGCAAGCCUGAUCCAGCCAUACCGCGUGGGUGAAGAAGGCCUUCGGGUUGUAAAGCCCUUUUGUUGGGAAAGAAAAGCAGCAGGUUAACACCCCGCUGUUCUGACGGUACCCAAAGAAUAAGCACCGGCUAACUUCGUG
rnacentral:rRNA from 1 species